ACUUUUAAUGGACAUUAGCAGUCCA
rnacentral:tRNA from 1 species